rnacentral:rRNA from 1 species
AUACGGAGGGUGCAAGCGUUACUCGGAAUCACAGGGCGUAAAGCGCGCGCAGGCGGCUAUUUAAGUUGGAUGUGAAAGCCUACGGCUCAACCGUAGAACUGCAUCCAAAACUAUUUAGCUAGAGUGUGGGAGAGGAAGAUGGAAUUAGUUGUGUAGGGGUAAAAUCCGUAGAGAUAACUAGGAAUACCAAAAGCGAAGGCAAUCUUCUGGAACACUACUGACGCUGAGGCGCGAAAGCGUGGGGAGCAAACAGGAUUAGAUACCCUAGUAGUCC